rnacentral:tmRNA from 1 species
GCCCUUCAAAUCGGGGGAGGAAGCGCCUAUAUUCCCCUCGUCGUCCUCGGACGACUAUGGCGAUAAACGGCUAUCGUAAUAAACCUUUCGGACCCGGGGGCGGUACCCGGCGCCUCCACCUCAACGCCGCGUGCGACGUUCAGGCGGGGGCGAAACAGGAUCGACGAGGGCGUAAAGGGUGGACUUUUGCUCGGCAUGAUACCACCGUUAUCGGGUCAAAAACGAUAGUUGCGAAUGACAACAAUCGCUCGGUUGCCUUGGCUGCGUAAGCAGUCUGGAAGACCAAACCAAAGUCCUCUGGGGUAGCACUUAGAGGCGGGGCACGGGGAACGCCUGGCAACAGAAGUUCCCCACU